rnacentral:rRNA from 1 species
AUUGAACGCUGGCGGCAGGCUUAACACAUGCAAGUCGAGCGGAGAUGAGGUGCUUGCACCUUAUCUUAGCGGCGGACGGGUGAGUAAUGCUUAGGAAUCUGCCUAUUAGUGGGGGACAACAUUCCGAAAGGAAUGCUAAUACCGCAUACGUCCUACGGGAGAAAGCAGGGGAUCUCCGGACCUUGCGCUAUAGAUGAGCCUAAGUCGGAUUAGCUAGUUGGUGGGGUAAAGGCCUACCUAGGCGACGAUCUGUAGCGGGUCUGAGAGGAUGAUCCGCCACACUGGGACUGAGACACGGCCCAGACUCCUACGGGAGGCAGCAGUGGGGAAUAUUGGACAAUGGGGGGGACCCUGAUCCAGCCAUGCCGCGUGUGUGAAGAAGGCCUUAUGGCUGUAAAGCACUUUAAGCGAGGAGGAGGCUACUGAGACUAAUACUCUUGGAUAGUGGACGUUACUCGUAGAAUAAGCACCGGCUAACUCUGUGCCAGCCGCCGCAGUAAAAC